rnacentral:lncRNA from 1 species
GUGAAAUUAAUUGGAUACGGUUUCUAAUGAACAAGUUAAGAAGUUGUGACGAGGCAAGAGUAAAUGAUGGCGUUUAUCACUAACUACCAUCCACCAUCUUUUGGAGUGGUAUUUUGACAUAAAGUCUUAGAAGAAGAAGAUGUCUGAGGUGAUGUUUUCAAAAACAAGAGGGAGAUCAUGGAAGAAGUCUAGUAAUGGUUCCUGCAACUCAUGAACACAUGGAACAAAUUAACAGGAUCUAGGGACAUCAUAGAAAGUACCACAAGUAGGUUAUAAACUAACAUCUGAAGACACAGAAUUUUGCAACUGAAGGUACCAUGUUAAAUUUUGGUUCAGAAACAAGUGGAGUUGGACCCCAGCUGGAGGGCAGCUGAGAAAAUAGUAACAAUAACAAUAUGUGAAACUCUGCAAACUCAAGAGCAAAUAAGGCUUGACAAUGCCACUGUUACCCCUUUGUAACAAACGGUAAAAGAAAAAUCCAUAUGUGAAUGCUUGGCUUUAGAGUAGUUUGAACUACCUGAUUUAGUGUCUUAAAAAAAUCCACAGUGGUCAGCACUGUCACAAUGUUAGAGGGGGAAAAAAAAAGUAGAGACUUAUCUACUCAUCUACUCAUAUUUCUAUUUAUACAUUUCUUUCUCCUGAACAGAGAUGGGGAGAAUUGUCAAAAGGAGUAGAGAUAAUCAUAAAAGUCAAAAUUCACUUUCUUUAAAUUUGAUGAUUCACCAAGUAACCAUACAUAAUUAUGGCUCCUCACCUGGAAAAUCAUCCAUCUUUGGCCAAUAGAUCUAUUUAAAUUUCUAUUAUUUUUAAAUGUCAUUUCAACUAAACUCAUAUUUUUUUAUUCCUUUUCACAUAAUGUAUCUUAUAGAAGUCUUAAUACUGAAUAAAAGCAGCUAAUCAAAAAUGUUUAUGAAGCAAAGAAAUUUACUUUUUGAAGGAAAGAAAUUUAACUUCUACCACCUGGAUGUUAAAAGCAAGCAGAAGAAAUUCAGACAGAAACCAAGACAGUAGGGAUGUGCACACACAGAGCACCAUCUGUAAGCAAAAGAGAGAAACUUCCGAUGAAACCACCUGUGAUCUCAGUCAUCUAGCUUCCAGAAUUGUGAAAAAAUA